AUUGAACGCUGGCGGCAGGCUUAACACAUGCAAGUCGAGCGGAGAUGAGGUGCUUGCACCUUAUCUUAGCGGCGGACGGGUGAGUAAUGCUUAGGAAUCUGCCUAUUAGUGGGGGACAACAUUCCGAAAGGAAUGCUAAUACCGCAUACGUCCUACGGGAGAAAGCAGGGGAUCUUCGGACCUUGCGCUAAUAGAUGAGCCUAAGUCGGAUUAGCUAGUUGGUGGGGUAGAGGCCUACCAAGGCGACGAUCUGUAGCGGGUCUGAGAGGAUGAUCCGCCACACUGGGACUGAGACACGGCCCAGACUCCUACGGGAGGCAGCAGUGGGGAAUAUUGGACAAUGGGGGAAACCCUGAUCCAGCUAUGCCGCGUGUGUGAAGAAGGCCUUAUGGUUGUAAAGCACUUUAAGCGAGGAGGAGGCUACUGAGACUAAUACUCUUGGAUAGUGGACGUUACUCGCAGAAUAAGCACCGGCUAACUCUGUGCCAGCAGCCGCAGUAA
rnacentral:rRNA from 1 species